rnacentral:tRNA from 1 species
GGCGGGUUCGUAUAUCGGUUAGUACGUCAGAUUUUCAUUCUAAAAAGAGGAGUUCGACUCUCCUACCCGCUA